AAACCAACAGGGAUUGCCUCAGUAGCGGCGAGUGAAGCGGCAAGAGCUCAGAUUUGAAAUCGCAGUGCUUGCGCUGCGAGUUGUAGAUUGCAGGUGGGAGAGUCUGCGUAGGCCGGUGUCGAAGUCCCUUGGAACAGGGCGCCACUGAGGGUGAGAGCCCCGUGCGAUGCCGUGCUUUCUGCGCUUUGUACUCCCCUCUGACGAGUCGAGUUGUUUGGGAAUGCAGCUCUAAGUGGGUGGUAAAUUCCAUCUAAGGCUAAAUACUGGCGAGAGACCGAUAGCGAACAAGUACUGUGAAGGAAAGAUGAAAAGCACUUUGAAAAGAGAGUGAAACAGCACGUGAAAUUGUUGAAAGGGAAGGGUAUUGGGCCCGACAUGGGAAUCGCGCACCGCUGCUCCUUGUGGGCGGCGCUCUGGGCUUUCCUGGGCCAGCAUCGGUUCUUGCUGCAGGAGAAGGGGCUGUGGAAUGUGGCUGCCGCG
rnacentral:rRNA from 1 species